AAUCCCGUGAACCAUCGAGUCUUUGAACGCAAGUUGGCCCCAAGCCUUCUGGCCGAGGGCACGUCUGCCUGGGUGUCACAAAUCGUCGUCCCCAUCCUUUGCGGAUACAGGACGGAAGCUGGUCUCCCGUGUGUUACCGCAUGCGGUUGGCCAAAAUCUGAG
rnacentral:rRNA from 1 species